rnacentral:rRNA from 1 species
CCCUACGGGAGGCAGCAGUGAGGAAUAUUGGUCAAUGGCCGGAAGGCUGAACCAGCCAAGUCGCGUGAGGGAAUAAGGCCCUAUGGGUCGUAAACCUCUUUUGUCAGGGAGCAAAGGCGGCCACGAGUGGACGAAAGGAGAGUACCUGAAGAAAAAGCAUCGGCUAACUCCGUGCCAGCAGCCGCGGUAAUACGGAGGAUGCGAGCGUUAUCCGGAUUUAUUGGGUUUAAAGGGUGCGUAGGCGGAGUGUCAAGUCGGCGGGAAAAUUUCGGGGCUCAGCCCCGGCGAGCCGUUGAAACUGCAAC